GUAUACAAUUUUCAAGUUCUAUCAGAACUUUCGAAGGUUUUAAGGUUAUUGUUGGAGUAGUCAAAAUAAAUUUAAGGCAGUAAACAAUAUUUACAAAUGACUUGGUUUAUCACCAUAAACAAUGAGAAUAUUUUCGUUGAAACUUUGGUUUUCCAAUUUAAAUCGAGAUGCAUAACAUAACCAUAAGUAACAACUAUUGGCACCUGGAUGAAAGAUCACAAAUGAAUAAGUGCCAAAGUUUGUUAAUACAUAAAAUGACAAAUUAUGGCACUAUUAAGCACGUCAUUUUUUGUAAUAAUUUUUUUAACUGGAAAUUAUACAAAACUGCGACGACGAUUAUAAAACUGGCACAAAACCUUCGGUCAUUUUUUAAAUAUCAAACACUCAAUACUCAAGCAUAGACCAACGCAUUAAUCAGACCAACUUUUGGGAAUUAACUACACACAUUCGAUAAUCUCAAUAUUUUCAUUUAAGGAAAAAUAUCAUAAUUGAAAUAUUAAUGAUUUCCGAAUAUAAACUCGAUUAUUUUGUGCUUAGGAAGAACUUUAAUAUCAUCG
rnacentral:lncRNA from 1 species